UUGUCACGCGGAGCCCACGAGUCAGAAACUCCCAGAGACGCACUAGGUCGCCUCCACAGCAGGUCAGGCUCUGCUCCGAACUCCGGUCGUGCUCUCCCAGGCCACCCCACCCCCACCCCACCCUCGCUCCUCAUGGAGGCAAGGCUGACCCUGGAGCCCACCGGCCGCAGCUGCUGGGACGAGCCGCUGAGGAUCACGGUGCGUGGACUGGCCCCCGAGCAGCCCGUCACGUUGUGCUCGUCCCUGCGCGACGAGAAGGGCGCGCUCUUCCGAGCCCACGCGCUCUACCGCGCCGAUGCCCACGGAGAGCUGGACCUGGCGCGCGCGCCCGCUCUGGGCGGCAGCUUCACGGGGCUCGAGCCCAUGGGGCUGAUCUGGGCCAUGGAGCCCGAACGGCCUUUCUGGCGUCUGAUCAAGCGCGACGUGCAGACGCCCUUCGUGGUGGAGCUGGAGGUGCUGGACGGACACGAGCCUGACGGUCGGCGGCUGCUGGCCCGGACGGUGCACGAGCGUCACUUCAUGGCUCCCGGGGUGCGGCGCGUGCCCGUGCGCGAGGGCCGGGUGCGCACCACGCUCUUCCUGCCCCCAGGGAAUGGACCCUUUCCUGGAAUCAUAAAUCUUUUUGGAGUUGGAGGCGGCCUUCUGGAGUACCGGGCGAGUCUGCUGGCUGGGAAGGGCUUUGCCGUCAUGGCUCUGGCUUAUUACACUACAAGGACCUCCCCAAGGACAUGGACAUUAUCCGCCUGGAGUACUUUGAGGAAGCUGUGUCCUACCAGCUCCGUCACCCUCAGGUCAAGGGUCCAGGAAUUGGCCUGCUGGGGAUUUCCAAAGGGGCUGAACUCUGCCUCUCCAUGGCCUCUUUCCUGAACGGCAUCACAGCCGCUGUCAUAAUCAAUGGCUCCAUGGUCAAUGUUGCUGGAACAUUAUACUACAAGGAGGAGAGUCUGCCUGCUUCGAGCAUGAAUCUAGAACGAAUCAGGGUGACCAAAGAUGGGUUUAAAGAUGUUAUAGAUAUCCUGACUGUCCCUCCAGAAGGUCCAGACCAGAAAAGCAUCAUCCCUGUGGAAAGGUCUAACACGACCUUCCUGUUCCUCGUUGGUCAGGAUGACCGCAACUGGAAGAGCGAGUUCUAUGCCAGAGAGGCCUCCAAACGCUUGCAGGCCCAUGGGAAGGAGAAGCCUCAGAUCAUCUUCUACCCAGAGACAGGCCACUAUAUUGAGCCUCCUUACUUCCCCUUGUGUAAGGCUUCAACACACUUUUUUUUUUUUUUUUUUUUGGUUCUUUUUUUCGGAGCUGGGGACCGAACCCAGGGCCUUGCGCUUCCUAGGUAAGCGCUCUACCACUGAGCUAAAUCCCCAGCCCCAACACACUUUUACUUUAACUUUGUUGUGAUCUGAGGAGGAGAGCCCAGGGCUCACACCAUGGCCCAGGUGGACGCUUGGCAGAAACUCUAGACUUUUCCACAAACACUUGGGUGUUAACGAGAGGACAAUCCCAGCAAAACUGUUAUUUUCUUUGAGUAGUGACAUUUCUGAUACUCAUGUGUACGCACUUUGUUUUUCUCCUUUUAAUGAAGUCUUGAAGUCUUCCCCCCCCCCCCCAAAGUUUUAUGGACUGUGUUUGAGGAAGGAUUGGGUCUUACUUUCUUACGGUGCCAAGGACUGAGCCCAGGGCUUGUGCAUAGUAGGGCUAGCACUCUGCUGCUGAGCUAGCCCACUGCACCUUAGUGGGUAGCAAUUUUUAAGAACCUUAAGAGGUUGAGAAGCGUUUCUGCUUCGUGGAACAGAAAGCAACUGGUAGCGCUUCGGUGCCUACUGCAUACUGCAAGCGGAUAACUAUUUACUAAGUGACUGCUCAUGAACAAAUCCUUAAUCUCCGUGCGAGAAAGCAUAUGCAGUAGCUCCUCGUGUCUGUAGGUUCUUCAUUGCAGCCUGUAUCACCUAGGGAUCAAAAGGCUCUAAACCUCCUCUGAGCACACAGGGCCUUGUCAGGGCAUUUUCCCUUAAGCAUCAUGCUGCAGAAUCGGAGCUAUUUACACGGCAUUUGCACUACGCUUAGGGUCAUAGGUAAUCCGGUUGUGAUUAACACAGAUUUUCUGACUACAUGCCAAUCACACACCAUUUUAUAUGAAGUACGUGAAUCAUUGCAGCUUCUGGGUCCAGGUUCCAAUCCCUCGGCUGUAAUAUAAAACUCAUUUAAUAUCAGGUUUGAGGCUGGAGAGGUAGCUCAGUAUUAAGAGCACUGAUGCUCUUCCAGAGGUCCUGAGUUCAAAUCCCAGCAACUACAUGGUGGCUCACAACCAUCUGUUAUGGGAUCCAAGGCCCUUUUCUGGUGUUUCUGAAGACAGAUGCAGUGUACUUAUAUACAUUAAAUACAUAAGAAAAUGUUAAAAAACAAUAUCAGAUUUCAAUUUCUCCUGUUAGAAUGGAAGUCACAACACUUUAGUUACAGAGUAUUUACUAGUUAGAAAUAAAACUAAUAAAAAUUUUAAAGCAGGGGUUGGGGAUUUAGCUCAGUGGUAGAGCACUUGCCUAGCAAGCACAAGGCCCUGGGUUCAGUCCCCAGCUCCGAAAAAAAGAAAAGGAAAAAAAAAUUAAAGCAAAUGUGCAUCUAGCUUUAUAAUAUCUUUUCAAAUGAAUAAGGAUUCUUCUAGCAAAGCAAUUGUAUUGGGCUUCUUGUAUAUACUAUGGACACGUAACUUCAAUAUCUCAAAGGUUGGUAGAACAUUUACAUUAGGAUUAUGUGAUUUUUAAAAAUGAUAUUGGUAACACUAUAUAAAAG